GUGCCAGCAGCCGCGGUAAUACGGAGGGUGCGAGCGUUAAUCGGAAUUACUGGGCGUAAAGGGUGCGUAGGCGGUUGAAUCAGUCGGAUGUGAAAGCCCCGGGCUUAACCUGGGAAUUGCAUUCGAUGCUGUUCGGCUAGAGUACGAUAGAGGGUGGUGGAACUCCAGGUGUAGCGGUGAAAUGCGUAGAUAUCUGGAAGAACACCAGUGGCGAAGGCGGCCACCUGGAUCGUAACUGACGCUGAGGCACGAAAGCGUGGGGAGCAAACAGGAUUAGAUACCCUGGUAGUCCACGCCCUAAACGAUGAGAACUAGCCGCUGGGAGGAUUAGCCUUUCAGUGGCGUAGCUAACGCGUUAAGUUCUCCGCCUGGGGAGUACGGCCGCAAGGUUGAAACUCAAAUGAAUUGACGG
rnacentral:rRNA from 1 species